rnacentral:snRNA from 1 species
GCUCUGGGUGAUCUGGCUGUGACAUCUGUGACCCCAUUGAUUGCCAGAGUUGAUUCGGCUGAUCUGGCUGGCUAGGCGCGUGUCCCCUUCCUCCCUCACUGCUCCAUGUGCCUCCCUCCCAAAGCUGUGCGCUCAGUCGAAGAGGACGGCCUUCCCCGAAUAGAGACGAACCGGUCUUCGGUCCAGGGUAUAGGAGUAGCUGCACUCCCCUUCUAGAACCUCCAAAAGUCUGUAAAAAAAUUAAAAACCAAAAAAAGACAAAUUACUUCCACUCUACUUGUUGGGUAACCAGU